ensembl:snRNA U1 U1 spliceosomal RNA
AUACUUACCUGGCAGAGGAGACACCAUGAUCACAAAGGUGGUUUCCCCAGGGUUAGGCUCACAUUCCAGGUGUGCUGACCCCUGCAAUUUCCCCAAAUGCAGGAAAUUCAACUGCAUAAUCGGUGCGGGGGGGGAGGGGGGGACUGUGUUUGCGCUUUCCCCUG